rnacentral:rRNA from 1 species
CCUACGGGCGGCAGCAGUGAGGAAUAUUGGUCAAUGGCCGGAAGGCUGAACCAGCCAAGCCGCGUGAGGGAGGAAGGCGCAGAGCGUCGCAGACCUCUUUUGCCGGGGGACAAAAGGCCGGACUCGUCCGGUCCUGAGGGUACCCGGAGAAAAAGCAUCGGCUAACUCCGUGCCAGCAGCCGCGGUAAUACGGAGGAUGCGAGCGUUAUCCGGAUUUAUUGGGUUUAAAGGGUGCGCAGGCGGGCCGUUAAGCCGGCGGGGAAAUCCCGGGGCUCAACCCCGCCCAGCCGUCGGAACCGGGGGCCGUGAGUGCGGCGGAGGCAUGCGGAAUGCGCGGUGUAGCGGGGAAAUGCAUCGGUAUCGCGCAGAACCCCGAUUGCGAAGGCAGGGUGCCGUGCGGCCACUGACGCUGGGGCACGAAAGCGCGGGGAUCGAACAGGAUUAGAUACCCCAGUAGUC